GUAUGAAAUCGUAUCAUUGCAAGCUCUACCAAUGCAUACAUCCUGAUCUCUAUCCUGUAUGGCAUGUGUAAACUAAGACUCAUCAGUAAGUCGAAGACCACCAACUGGCUAUGUCUCCUAUCCUCCGAUCCUUCCAUGAUCAUCAAAUCCAUGAUCAGCUGAAGAACUACCAUCACUGCUCCAUUUGAUAUCUAAAUUUGAGUGAACUGAAUGCUCGGACUAUACUAGGGCCGCACUUGCCUUUCUUUUUCUUUUGUUCUUAUCUCGCUCUGCCUGCCUAAGUUGCGUGGAUGCAUGCUGUGGCAUAUCAGCUGGAAGUCUAAAUGGAAUGUUGCUGCUUGCCCACUGAGAGGCGUCUAUCCCAACCUUGCUAGCAACAAAAUUGGUUGGUCAUGGAGGCUUUCCACAUAUCCCUCUUCUUAUCUUUCCUCAACAUACUAUCGAUCCUCUGUUGCUUGAAAUCUCUACUAGAAAAGAAAUGUGAAUCCAAAUCAUGAAUAGUGGCUCCUGUUGAAAUCUUCCUAGAGGACUUCUUUCUACUAUCAAAUGCUCCCAACAUAGAUGCAAGAUAACUGAUGCCUGAACUGACAAGCUCUCUAACUGAGGAUGUCCUCCUAAACUGUGACUCAGAUUCUGCUGCAGUACUCUUUGAGCCUGACUCUUCCUCAUAAACCGGUGGUCCAAAUCGAGUUCUAUGCCUGACCAGCUCCUCUAGCUACCACUGAUCAUUUAAACUCGUCCAAAUGGCUGCAUCGAUCUAUGCCUGCUUAUCAUCUGGAGCAGAUCCUUCCUCUGACUCUAGAGUGAUAAGGUAGCCCUACUGCUCGACGGUCCAUCUCUACCUUUUUUCUCAAAUUCUUUUCUUCACUGCUUUAAACUCAGCAAAAUACUUUUCAUCAACUGACGGACUUUCUGUGGAUAUUUAUGGUACAUAGCUGCAUUCGGAUAGCAGCCAGCCAAAUGUUGCUUCAACCGUAUGAUCCCUCCUUUGAAUUCUAUAUUACACUAUUUAUAUCUCCAAUGAUGCUGACCUGAGAGCAUCUCUCCAUGCUCCCAACCAGUGUCACGCUCUGGAUCCUUCUUUCAUAAUGAAUCUAUUUCUAAAAAUUGACAAGCAUAUUACUUUAAUAAUUAUAUAAAAAUGACAUAUUUUAUUUACUAAUUUUUUUAUUUUUAAAUUAUUUAAUUAUUUUUUAUUAUUUUUUAAAAAAUAUAUUAAAAACUAAAAAAUAUGAAAAAAAUAAUUGAUCUUAGAUCCAUGUGGGAUCCUACCAUUGAUGCUACAUAUAAAUUUUUUAAUCCAUGAACAUGCAUAAAAUCUUU
rnacentral:lncRNA from 1 species